UACGUAGGCAGCAAGCGUUGUUCGGAAUUACUGGGCGUAAAGAGUACGUAGGUGGUUUGCCAAGUCCGAUGUGAAAUCUCCUGGCUUAACUGGGAGGGUGCGUUAGAUACUGGCAGGCUAGAGUCCGGAAGAGGAAAGUGGAAUUCCUGGUGUAGCGGUGAAAUGCGCAGAUAUCAGGAAGAACACCAAUGGCGAAAGCAGCUUUCUGGGACGGUACUGACGCUGAGACGCGAAAGCGUGGGGAGCGAACAGG
rnacentral:rRNA from 1 species